rnacentral:rRNA from 1 species
UACGUAGGGUGCAAGCGUUGUCCGGAAUUAUUGGGCGUAAAGAGCUCGUAGGCGGUCUGUCGCGUCGGCUGUGAAAACUCGGGGCUCAACCCCGAGCCUGCAGUCGAUACGGGCAGACUAGAGGUAUGCAGGGGAGAACGGAAUUCCUGGUGUAGCGGUGAAAUGCGCAGAUAUCAGGAGGAACACCGGUGGCGAAGGCGGUUCUCUGGGCAUUACCUGACGCUGAGGAGCGAAAGUGUGGGGAGCGAACAGG